rnacentral:rRNA from 1 species
UACAGAGGAGCCAAGCGUUGUCCGGAUUGACUGGGCGUAAAGCGAACGUAGGCGGUGUUCCAUGUCAGAGGUGAAAGCCUGGGGCUCAACUCCAGAAUUGCCUUUGAAACGGGAACGCUUGAGUCCGAGAGAGGAUGGCGGAAUUCCUAGUGUAGAGGUGAAAUUCGUAGAUAUUAGGAAGAACACCGGUGGCGAAGGCGGCCAUCUGGCUCGGUACUGACGCUCAGGUUCGAAAGCGUGGGGAGCAAACAGG